CCUACGGUGGGCAGCAGUGGGGAAUAUUGCACAAUGGGGGAAACCCUGAUGCAGCGACGCCGCGUGAGUGAAGAAGUAAUUCGUUAUGUAAAGCUCUAUCAGCAGGGAAGAAAAUGACGGUAACUGCGCAACAAGCCCCGGCUAACUACGUCCCAGCAGCCGCGGUCAUACGUAGGGGGCAAGCGCUAUCCGGAUUUACUGGGUGAAACGGGAGCGGAGACGGCAGUGCAAGUCUGGGGUGAACGGCGGGGGCUCAAUCCCCGGACUGCUCUGGAAACUGUACGGCGGGAGUGCAGGAGAGGGAAGGGGAAUUCCUAGUGUGGCGGUGAAAUGCGUAGAUAUUAGGAGGAACACCGGUGGCGAAGGCGGCUUACUGGACUGUAACUGACGUUGAGGCUCGAAAGCGUGGGGAGCAAACAGGAUUAGAUACCGAGUAGUC
rnacentral:rRNA from 1 species